rnacentral:rRNA from 1 species
UACGGGGGGUGCGAGCGUUGUCCGGAAUCACUGGGCGUAAAGGGCGCGUAGGUGGCCUGAUAAGGGUGUGGUGAAAGUCCGGGGCUCAACCCCGGAUCUGCCGUGCCGACUGUUGGGCUGGAGUACUGUAGGGGCAGGCGGAAUUCCGGGUGUAGCGGUGGAAUGCGUAGAGAUCCGGAGGAAGACCGGUGGCGAAGGCGGCCCGCUGGGCAGUGGCUGACGCUGAGGCGCGACAGCGUGGGGAGCAAACAGG